AUCGGAUUAGACGAUGACUAUCAUGUGUCACGUUCUGAUUGCAUGUUGACUCUAUGGACGAUGAAAAUGCAUUGUUAUUGUCAACGUCCAAUCAGAACGUGACACGUGAUCGU
rfam:Glycine soja cultivar W05 scaffold5961_22, whole genome shotgun sequence.